ensembl:snoRNA U3 Small nucleolar RNA U3
AAGACCAUAUUUUCACGGAUAAUUUUUAUAGGUCAUUUCUAAGCACCUAUUCCAUUGCUAAGCAUGAAGAAGAGAUGAAAUACUCUCGUAAGUGGGAAGCUGGAUUUUGGUGUUGCUUUACUGCAACUUUUUUUUACUCUUGGUCAUCAUCCCUUUUACUUCCCCCAAGUUGGAGAAUUUAGAAGGAAAGAUUAUAGUCCUAGUGAU